GAACAGGGAAAAGCCCAGCACCGAAGCCUGUGGCCGUUUGGCUAUUAGGCAAUGUGGUGUUCAGGUCGUUCCGCAGAGGUUCUGCUCCACCCUAAGUCCAGCAAUGAGUACGGUAGUACGGACAUGGCCCACAGAGGGUGAAAGGCCCGUGGGGGUGGAGAUUCGGCAGGACAGAGCCUCUCUGGGUAGACCUUGGAGUCGGGUUGUUUGAGAAUGCAGCCCAAAGUGGGUGGUAAACUCCAUCCAAGGCUAAAUACUAGCACGAGUCCGAUAGCGAACAAGUACCGUGAGGGAAAGUUGAAAAGUACUUUGAAGAUAGAGUAAACAGUGCGUGAAACCGCUCAGAGGUAAACGGGUGGAGUUGAACUGCAAGCUCUGAGAAUUCAGCUGGUGAGUGUGGUUUGAGCUUGGUCAAAUUGGUGAAUUCCGAGGUCUGUGUAGUAGCAGGUCCUUCACCUUCGGGUGGGGAUGCGCGGUGCACUUGUCAAGUGUUGCGCGUCUCGGUUUUUCGGCCAGCUCGUCAGUGCACUUUCUCAGAGUAUUCACCACGACCGGCACCGCUGUCUGGCUGCUUUGGUUAAACCGGUCUUGCUUUGUCCUUGUGGCUUUGCUUGAUCGGGAUGGCAGGUAGCUCGUUGACUUGCUUGUGGCUUGCUGCAGGCGUUCGGUUUUCGAGUGUAAUCAGCUGACCUUAGUGGUUCUGUGCAGUGUGUCGGAGACGGCGGCUUGUAGUGUGUGCACGCGUCUCUGUCUGCUGACUUGUCCGGGUUUGGUUGUUAUGUAGCCUGGUAACCCAGGCCUGAUAAUGGCUCGGAUUCGUUCGGUGGGCAGUUGCGUGUGUGGCACUUUUGCAGGGCCAAUAGUCUGUGGUGUAGUGGUAGACUUUCCACCUGACCCGUCUUGAAACACGGACCAAGGAGAGUAACAUGUACGCGAGUCAUUGGGCGUUACGAAACCCAAAGGCGCAGUGAAAGUAAAUGUCUGACUCGUUCAGACUGAGGUGAGAUCCUGUCGUUUCUCAUGCGCGGUACUUCCAAGCUCCGAGCGGCAGGCGCAUCACCGGCCCGUCCCAUGACAUUUGUUUUCGAGCUUUCCGGUCGGGGCGGAGCAUGAGCGUACAUGUUGAGACCCGAAAGAUGGUGAACUAUGCUUGCGCAGGUUGAAGCCAGAGGAAACUCUGGUGGAGGACCGCAGCGAUUCUGACGUGCAAAUCGAUCGUCAAACGUGAGUAUAGGGGCGAAAGACUAAUCGAACCAUCUAGAGCGGUCCCC
rnacentral:rRNA from 1 species